rnacentral:lncRNA from 1 species
AGCCACCUCCAAACACCCCCCUCUCUCAAGCUCUCUCGAAGGUUCUUGAAACCCUAGCCUCACUCACCAUCUUAAACCACAAUCUCACCAGAAUCCAUGGACUCUCCGGUCAUGGAUGGCUUGAACCCAUCUCUCUCUGCUUUUAAACUGUUGGUGCUAAAAGUUUCAAGGUCUGACCUCAAUGGUGUCCGUUUAGAUCUUCUCUGAUUAAUGGUUCGGACCUCUCCGACCUUGCUCCGGUGUAUCCAAGCAUUAUGAGCCUAUCUCUAAUCUUUUCGACCAAGAUUGGACCUUUUCAAAGCCUUUCUCAUUUUAGGGUUCUUCUGAAACCCUAGCUACUUGAGGUUUUCAAUGAUUUUACUUAGAUUUGUUAUAUAUCUGUGCGCUACUGGAGUUUUUCUUAACACUUUUCCCCAAUUUUUCUUUCAAAAUUAUCCUUUAAAAU